UACGUAGGGGGCAAGCGUUGUCCGGAAUCAUUGGGCGUAAAGCGCGUGUAGGCGGCCAGAAAAGUCCGCUGUGAAAACUCGAGGCUCAACUUCGAGCUGUCGGUGGAAACUUUCUGGCUAGAGUCCGGAAGAGGAGAAUGGAAUUCCUGGUGUAGCGGUGAAAUGCGCAGAUAUCAGGAGGAACACCAGUGGCGAAGGCGGUGCUCUGGGCCGGAACUGACGCUGAGGAGCGAAAGCGUGGGGAGCAAACAGG
rnacentral:rRNA from 1 species